GCCGGACCCAAUAAUUUAUCGUUACAACAAACGAUAAAAGACAAUAAGUGCGUUACAUGCGAAUCGUCCGCGACCCAGGGCAGCAGCCCCGAGACAUCGUCGCCGGACCCAAUAAUUUAUCGUUACAACAAACGAUAAAAGACAAUAAGUGCGUUACAUACGAAUCGUCCGCGACUCAGGGCAACAGCCCCAAGGCGUCGUCGCGGGCAUCUCUAUCGCGAGUGCGAGACUUUAUGAUUUUGUGGCGUAUUUCGAGAUUGAACAAUAAAUAAAUCUAUUCACGAACAACACAACCUGUUUAUUACGCGAAAAGACAGCGCGAACACGAAUACUGUUCGUGUUGAUACUGAACAAUUUAGGUUAGGUCGGAGAUAGCCAAUCUUUUCCGAUGUGGCGCAAUAAAAAGAGAAAGGGAGAGAACGACGUGCUAUUUAUAUCAAAGAGUACCUGAAACAAAUAACACGAAUGCAAGCAACGUGCAAUUUAACACUAGAGGAUAUUAAACAACGGAUGAGCAGAAUGGAGGAUGCUUUGAGAAGCCGUGGUUCUGUUUCGACAAAUAACAGCGAUAGUCUUAUCGCAGAAAUGUUACCUUUAUGUACGGUUGAGAGCAUACAAAAUUUUGAUUCCUUCUUACGUGACACUGAUGAAGCAGUUAUGCAUUUCGUAAGUAUAUACAUUAAUUUAUCACUUAUAUGAUAAAUCUUUGUUACACUUUGUUACUUUGUUAAGUACAAAAUUCAAUUAUUUUAGUAGCAAUGUUAGUUUGUCAUGAAAUAGUACGUGUUACUGUAAUGAAAUGAAAGUUUUCCAAAUUUUGUUUUCUUAUAGAAGAACUUUCUGUU